GUGCCAGCAGCCGCGGUAAUACGGGAGGGGCAAGCGUUAUCCGGAAUUAUUGGGCGUAAAGAGCUCGUAGGCGGUUCAACAAGUCGGUCGUAAAAGUUUAGGGCUCAACCCUAUAAUGUCGAUCGAUACUGUUGUGACUAGGAUACGGUAGAGGUGAAUGGAAUUCCGAGUGUAGCGGUGAAAUGCGUAGAUAUUCGGAGGAACACCAGUGGCGAAGGCGACGCCCUGGCUUGAUACUGACACUGAGGUGCGAAAGCGUCGGCAGCAAACAGGAUAAGAUA
rnacentral:rRNA from 1 species